CAACUAAUCAAAAGGAUUGAGAUACAUUGAGUCCUAUUUUGCUAUAUUUGUAUCUCAAUCCUUUUGAUUAGUUGUG